rnacentral:rRNA from 1 species
UAUCUCUGUAGAGUCUGCAUAUCAAUAAGCGGAGGAAAAGAAACUAACUAGGAUUCCCUCAGUAAAGGCGAGUGAAGCGGGAAGAGCUCAAAUUUGAAAUCUUCAAGGUUCUACCUUGACGAAUUGUAGUUUAAAGAAGUGUUUUCUGUUGGAGUUUUGGUAAAAGUUCUCUGGAAUAGGACAUCAUAGAGGGUGAGAAUCCCGUAUUUGACCAUUAUUUCCAGCUUUGUGAUACACUUUCAAAGAGUCGGAUUGUUUGGGAAUGCAGUCCAAAAUGGGUGGUAAAUUUCAUCUAAAGCUAAAUACUGGCGAGAGACCGAUAGCGAACAAGUACCGUGAGGGAAAGAUGAAAAGAACUUUGAAAAGAGAGUUAAACAGUACGUGAAAUUGUCAAAAGGGAGGCGUUUGACACCAGUGUUGCUUUUCUCGAAAAUCAAUUAAAAAAGGCAGGAUUUUGUGUUGUAUUGACUUUAUCAGCUUUCUGCACUCUUUUCUUGUCUUUUUUUAAUGCACUUUUCGUUUAACAAGUCAACAUCAAUUUCUUUUGUUGUAAAAGAGUCAUUGGAAGGUGGCUUUCAUUUCGGUAGAAAGUGUUUAUAGCCUUUGGCCUCUGCAAUCGGAGAGAUUGAGGUCUGCAGCGUAGAUCCUUCGGGGUUAGAUACAUUUGUGCUAAGUUAUAGCCUUUCAUAGACAACUUGUUGACUAUGAUCAGUCAUGUAGCUUACUCGCUUAUGCUAUUUUACCUACGCUUAGGAUGUUGAUAGUCACAGCGUGUAC